AAGCAGGUCAGUUGGAGUCUUGUUUGCUCCUAGAUAUUCACACACGGCUCACAUAGUGUGGAACUCAGAUGGACAGCAAAACUGUUGAAGGUGCCGGAUAAUCAUCAUGCUUUUAUAUGUCAUCGCCCUACUAGAUCCACAAGAUCCUCUAGAAUUGCAUCAGUUAAUGAUUGUAGUAUACCAUCCUACCGCACAGCAUUCGGGCAGUCCUCUUUGGAAAUGGAAUGCUCUUCCAGGCAGCAGGACACUGAAGAGGUCAGUUGGAGUUUUGUUUGCUCCUGGAUAUUCACACACGGCUCAAAUAGUGUGGAACUCAGAUGGACAGCAAAACUGAUCAAGGUGAAGGUCAAUCAUCAUGCUACCGACUGAUACGCACUCGUGAUCCCGCAGCCUAGGCAACCACACUUUAAUCAAACUGGAUCUAAUCACGUGCCUUCUGUCUACCAGCUAUGGAAGGAUACAUAGCGCACAUGCGGCUCGUGGUACUCCUGAUCCUAUCACUUUGUG